AACGAACGCUGGCGGCAUGCCUAACACAUGCAAGUCGAACGAGACCUUCGGGUCUAGUGGCGCACGGGUGCGUAACGCGUGGGAACCUGCCCUUAGGUUCGGAAUAACUCCCCGAAAGGGGUGCUAAUACCGGAUAAUGUCUUCGGACCAAAGAUUUAUGGCCUUUGGAUGGGCCCGCGUUGGAUUCGCUAGUUGGUAGGGUACAAGCCUGCCAAGGCGACGAUCCGUAGCUGGUCGGAGAGGAUGCACAGCCGCACUGGGACUGGGACACGGCCCAGACUGCUAGGGGAGGCAGGAGUGGGGAAUAUAGGACAAGGGGCGAAAGCCUGAUCCAGCAAGGCCGGGUGAGUGGUGAAGGGGUUAGGGUUGGAAAGCGCUUGUACCCGGGAUGAUAAUGACAGAACCGGGAGAAUAAGCCCCGGCUAACACCGU
rnacentral:rRNA from 1 species